ensembl:lncRNA
GUGAAUUUUGUGUAUCGUUGCACCCCUAAUAUAUAUGUAUAUUUCUGAAUUUGGCUGUUGUUACGUUUCGGUGUUGUCAGUGUUUUGUUUUUGCUUGGUCAUGUUCGCGAUCUCCCCCGCGUUGUAAAUAGUUUGACGUCUUGUUGUAAAUAAAUAGUUUGUUGUAAAUACUUUCGUUUCGGGAUUUUGGUGGAGAGCCUUAGUGGGGUUUUUUUUUGUGUGUUUUUUUUUCUUUAUUUUUACUUUUUUUCGUGUUGCACUCCGGUUGCCUAGGCCGGGGUGUAACAUAUGGGGGCUCGUCCAAUCGCUGGAGGGUCCGAGGGCCGCUUCGGCCUCCGUCUGUCUUCGCUGGAGGGCCCGGGGACCGCUUCAGCCGUCCGCCGUCGCUGGAGGGUCCGAGGGAGGGACCGCUUCAGCCGUCUGUCUUCGCUGGAGGGUCCGAGGGCCGGUCCAGCCUUCAUCCGCCUUCGCUGGAGGGUCCGAGGGACCGUCCCGGCCUUCGUCGUCUGCUGGAGGGUCCGAGGGACUGCUCCAGCCUUCAUCCGCCUUCGCUGGAGGGUCCGGGGAACCGCUCCAGCCUUCGUUUGUCUUUGCUGGAGGGUCCGAGGGACCGCUCCGGCCUUCGUCUGCUGGAGGGUCAGUGGGACCGCUCUAGCCUUCG